rnacentral:rRNA from 1 species
AUUGAACGCUGGCGGCAGGCCUAACACAUGCAAGUCGAGCGGAGCGGCGGAGGGGUGAGUGAUGCCUAGGAAUCUGACUGGUAGUGGGGGAUGACGUCCGGUAACGGGCGCUCAUACCGCAUACUCUCAGAUGAGCCUAGGUCGGCUUCGGUAGUUGGGGGGGUAAAGGCCUACCACGGCGACGAUCCGUACAUGGUCUGAGAGGAUGAUCAGUCACACUGGAACUGAGACACGGUCCAGACUCCUACGGGAGGCAGCAGGGGGGAAUAUGGGACAAUGGGCGAAAGCCUGAUCCAGCCAUGCCGCGUGUGGGAAGAAGGUCUUCGGAUUGUAAAGCACUUUAAGUUGGGAGGCGUUACCAACAGAAUAAGCACCGGCUAACUUCGUGCCAGCAGCCGCGGUAAUAC